rnacentral:rRNA from 1 species
AGAGUUUGAUCCUGGCUCAGGAUGAACGCUAGCGGCAGGCUUAAUACAUGCAAGUCGUACGGGAUCCGAGGUAGCAAUACUUUGGUGAGAGUGGCGCACGGGUGCGUAACACGUAUGCAACCUACCUUUAACCGGAACAUAACUUUGAGAAAUUGAGGCUAAUAUCCCAUAACACUGCGAAAUAGCAUCAUUUUGCAGUAAAACUCCGGUGGUUAUAGAUGGGCAUGCGCGACAUUAGCUAGUUGGUGAGGUAACGGCCCACCAAGGCUACGAUGUCUAGGGGUUCUGAGAGGAUUAUCCCCCACACUGGUACUGAGACACGGACCAGACUCCUACGGGAGGCAGCAGUAAGGAAUAUUGGUCAAUGGGCGAAAGCCUGAACCAGCCAUGCCGCGUGAAGGAUGACGGCCCUAUGGGUUGUAAACUUCUUUUGUACGGGAAAAAACCACCGGUCGUCAUCGGUGCUGAUGGUACCGUAAGAAUAAGCAUCGGCUAACUCCGUGCCAGCAGCCGCGGUAAUACGGAGGAUGCAAGCGUUAUCCGGAUUCAUUGGGUUUAAAGGGUGCGCAGGCGGAGUGUUAAGUCAGUGGUGAAAUCUCUCGGCUCAACCGGGAAACUGCCAUUGAUACUGGCAUUCUUGAGUAUUGUUGAGGUAGGCGGAAUGUGUCAUAUAGCGGUGAAAUGCUUAGAUAUGACACAGAACACCGAUCGCGAGACAGCUUACCAAGCAAUAACUGACGCUCAUGCACAAAAGCGUGGGGAUCAAACAGGAUUAGAUACCCUAGUAGUCCACGCCGUAAACGAUGAUCACUCGAUGUUGGCGAUACACAGUCAGCGUCUUAGGGAAACUAUUAAGUGAUCCACCUGGGGAGUACGGUCGCAAGAUUGAAACUCAAAGGAAUUGACGGGGGCCCGCACAAACGGAGGAGCAUGUGGUUUAAUUCGAUGAUACGCGAGGAACCUUACCUGAACCGAACGUGGAAUGACAGUCGCGGAAACGUGAUCUUCUUCGGACAUUCUACGAGGUACUGCAUGAUUGUCGUCAGCUCGUGCCGUGAGGUGUCGGGUUAAGUCCCAUAACGAGCGCAACCCCUAUCUUUAGUUGCCAUCAGGUAAUGCUGGGGACUCUAAAGAAACUGCCUACGCAAGUAGUGAGGAAGGCGGGGAUGACGUCAAAUCAGCACGGCCCUUACGUCCAGGGCUACACACGUGCUACAAUGGCCGGUACAGGGGCGGCUACUGGGUGACCAGAUGCAAAUCUCCAAAGCCGGUCUCAGUUCGGAUCGAAGUCUGAAACUCGACUUCGUGAAGUUGGAUUCGCUAGUAAUCGCGCAUCAGCCAUGGCGCGGUGAAUACGUUCCCGGGCCUUGUACACACCGCCCGUCACACCAUGGGAGUUGGGAGCACCCGAAGGCAGAGAGGUAACCGCAAGGAGCCAUCUGACGAAGGUGAGCUCAAUGACUGGGGUGAAGUCGUAACAAGGUAACC